rnacentral:rRNA from 1 species
GAUGAACGCUGGCGGCGUGCUCAACACAUGCAAGUCGAACGAUGAAGCCCAGCUUGCUGGGUGGAUUAGUGGCGAACGGGUGAGUAACACGUGAGUAACCUGCCCUUAACUCUGGGAUAAGCCUGGGAAACUGGGUCUAAUACCGGAUAGGAGCGCCUACCGCAUGGUGGGUGUUGGAAAGAUUUAUCGGUUUUGGAUGGACUCGCGGCCUAUCAGCUUGUUGGUGAGGUAAUGGCUCACCAAGGCGACGACGGGUAGCCGGCCUGAGAGGGUGACCGGCCACACUGGGACUGAGACACGGCCCAGACUCCUACGGGAGGCAGCAGUGGGGAAUAUUGCACAAUGGGCGAAAGCCUGAUGCAGCGACGCCGCGUGAGGGAUGACGGCCUUCGGGUUGUAAACCUCUUUCAGUAGGGAAGAGGCGAAAGUGACGGUACCUGCAGAAGAAGCACCGGCUAACUACGUGCCAGCAGCCGCGGUAAUACGUAGGGUGCGAGCGUUAUCCGGAAUUAUUGGGCGUAAAGAGCUCGUAGGCGGUUUGUCGCGCCUGUCGUGAAAGUCCGGGGCUUAACCCCGGAUCUGCGGUGGGUACGGGCAGACUAGAGUGCAGUAGGGGAGACUGGAAUUCCUGGUGUAGCGGUGGAAUGCGCAGAUAUCAGGAGGAACACCGAUGGCGAAGGCAGGUCUCUGGGCUGUAACUGACGCUGAGGAGCGAAAGCAUGGGGAGCGAACAGGAUUAGAUACCCUGGUAGUCCAUGCCGUAAACGUUGGGCACUAGGUGUGGGGACCAUUCCACGGUUUCCGCGCCGCAGCUAACGCAUUAAGUGCCCCGCCUGGGGAGUACGGCCGCAAGGCUAAAACUCAAAGGAAUUGACGGGGGCCCGCACAAGCGGCGGAGCAUGCGGAUUAAUUCGAUGCAACGCGAAGAACCUUACCAAGGCUUGACAUGUUCCCGAUCGCCGUAGAGAUACGGUUUCCCCUUUGGGGCGGGUUCACAGGUGGUGCAUGGUUGUCGUCAGCUCGUGUCGUGAGAUGUUGGGUUAAGUCCCGCAACGAGCGCAACCCUCGUUCCAUGUUGCCAGCACGUAAUGGUGGGGACUCAUGGGAGACUGCCGGGGUCAACUCGGAGGAAGGUGAGGACGACGUCAAAUCAUCAUGCCCCUUAUGUCUUGGGCUUCACGCAUGCUACAAUGGCCGGUACAAUGGGUUGCGAUACUGUGAGGUGGAGCUAAUCCCAAAAAGCCGGUCUCAGUUCGGAUUGGGGUCUGCAACUCGACCCCAUGAAGUCGGAGUCGCUAGUAAUCGCAGAUCAGCAACGCUGCGGUGAAUACGUUCCCGGGCCU